rnacentral:lncRNA from 1 species
CAAUUGCAAUAGACAAUAAACAAAAAUAAAAAUAGAAAUACGUUUGACAAAAACAUGAAAUAUAAAUUGAGUUAAUAAUACAUGUAGUCACACAUCAAACCUGUAUGUUUAGUGAUUAUUGACCAUGCACCAGAAGCAGCAUCACAUCCAUUAUAGAAAAAAAACAAAAAAAACUUCGAGUUAAGUCCUUCCUCGUGGCUGAUGCAUAUGAGCAAAUAGUAUUGUUGUUCAUAUGCAGGAGUCACAAAGGGCAGGUGCUUAAAGGACACUCAAGCCUCUUCACAGAAAUCUGAAAAACUUAAACAUUUUACAACACAAG